CAACCAUCAAGCCCUGCUUGUGUUGGGGUCCUGCGGCUGCCCGCAGGCCCUGAAAACCAGUGGCGGGCUCGCUAGUCACCCCGAGCGCAGUAAUACAUCUCGCUUUGGUCGUGCGGCGGGUUCUUGCCGUUAAACACCCCCCUUCCAAA
rnacentral:misc_RNA from 1 species